GCAAGCAGAUGGAGGCAGAAUAUUGCCCAGUUGGAGCUGCUGCUCAGGAACACCCGAAGGACAGGGCCCAGAAGAGACGGGCAAGCCGCACCAGCAUGGAGCACCUACACAGUUUAUGAGCCACAUUUAUUUCCGGUUAAAAGCAGCACGGAUGGACGACGUCAUUCCAGAAUGCUGCCUGGCCGAAAUAAAAGCUGGCAGCAAGAAGACCACAGCGGAGGCACUGCAGGGAGCAGGCAGCGAAAGUGCUUCCUGCACCGGGGAUCACCUAGAGGGACCCCGAGACAAGGGUGACAGCUAUGAGCAGUGCUCCGGGGUUAGGAGCAGCCGAGAUAGCACGGCAGUCAGCCGAGUUAUAACGAAAGACGUGGCGGAAGAGCAGGGACAGCUUAAUGUCCCAAAGAGAUGUAGGGCUAGGAGAGGUCAUCUGUAGCCCAGCCAAUGAGAAGAGAACAGGAGUUGACCUUGGAGGGCGAGCCAUCUGACCAUCAAGUGGCCAUCCUAGAGGCUGGCGCAUGGAUGGGGUGUAGGGGAGGUGAAGCCCCAUGGAUACCCGCCAGGAAGUGUGACCAAUCCAAGAGGGACCACAGGAGGGGACCCCACCACUGAAAGGAAGAUCAAAGUCGUGGCAGAAGAGUUUCUGGGUUUCCCUCAGGGAGAUUGUGGGCACUCUCUGAGACCACUGGGACAAACGCAGAGACAAUCCCAGAUGCAUACUCCAAGGCAGCACGAGAGCCCCUCCUUGAGACCAGGUGGACACAUAAAGUAUACCCAGAAACAACAAUGAUGGUCCUGAUGAGGACGGUAAUGAUAUUUCUCCAUUUUGUUUUGAUUUUGCAGUUAUUCUGCAAAUGCCAUCCUAACUUUUUGCAUAGUGUUUUUCACUUUAAAUGCUUAAUAUGUAAAUAUUUUUCUCUUUAAAGCCUCCAAAUAAAUAACACCUAC